rnacentral:lncRNA from 1 species
UUGAGGAAUCACCACACUGUCUUCCACAAUGGUUGUACUAAUUUACAUUUGCUGGUGCUGUUUUCUACAUUGAAUCUGAGGGCUACUGUAUGAUGUGUAAGACACUUUCUGAUUGGAGCCUCACAAUGAUCCUACCAGGACCGACUCUCAGGAGAUGAAGAUCCAAUCACUCUAUCAAAGAAUAUGAGCAUUUCCGAGGCUCUUGUAAGACAUCCAGCCUCCAGAACUGUGAGUACUAUGCUGAAGAGAGCCCUCAUCAGCACCUGACCAACCUGACCAUGCUGCACCCUCAUCUUAGACGUUCAGCCUCCAGAACUGUGAAUACUAUGCUGAAGAGAGCCCUCACCAGCACCUGACCAUGCUGCACCCUCAUCUCAGAUGUCCAGCCUCCAGAA